AAACUAUGAUGUGGAUAGUGCCUCUGUAGGUCCUUGUAUCUCUCUUAAACCUCAUAUAAAUUUUUGUCAUCUUUUGUAGUAAAUUUAGUGAUGUCAUUUAUGAUUUC